GUGAGUAAUGCCUAGGAAUCUGCCUGGUAGUGGGGGAUAACGUUCGGAAACGGACGCUAAUACCGCAUACGUCCUACGGGAGAAAGCAGGGGACCUUCGGGCCUUGCGCUAUCAGAUGAGCCUAGGUCGGAUUAGCUAGUUGGUGGGGUAAUGGCUCACCAAGGCGACGAUCCGUAACUGGUCUGAGAGGAUGAUCAGUCACACUGGAACUGAGACACGGUCCAGACU
rnacentral:rRNA from 1 species